UGAAAACCAACUUCUGCCGGUGUGUCUACCUGGUGGUCGGAAGAAUGCUCAGCCUGGUGAUUGGCUUUGGAAGGAACCAGGAGCCAGUUGAUGAUGAAAGAAGACGUGUAUGUCGAGCCGUAACCUGACUAAACUUUGGCGUCUAAAAGCCACUUAAUGAAUACACAGCCUGGUCACUGACCAUGGAUGGAUCCAGGAGCCAGUUUAAGAUGGAAAAAGACACAUAUGUUGAACCAUCACCUGAGUAAACUUUGGGGUCUGACAGCUACUGAAGUCAUCGACCCAAUAAGUUUCCGCAGUGGAAGAUACACAGCCUGGAGACUGACCAUGGAUGGAUUCAGGAACAGGUUGAAGAUCUAAGAAAACAUGCAUGUGGAGCCAUCACCUGAGUAACCAUUGGGGUCUGACAGCUACUUACGGAAGACAUCAUACACAAUAGCAUUCUGCACAAAAAAAAAAAAAGACAA